UAAGCGGAGGAAAAGAAACCAACAGGGAUUGCCCCAGUAACGGCGAGUGAAGCGGCAACAGCUCAAAUUUGAAAUCUGGCUUUCGGGCCCGAGUUGUAAUUUGUAGAGGAUGCUUUUGGUUAGGUACCUUCCGAGUUCCUUGGAACAGGACGCCUUAGAGGGUGAGAGCCCCGUACGGUUGGAUGCCGAGCCUCUGUAAAGCUCCUUCGACGAGUCGAGUAGUUUGGGAAUGCUGCUCUAAAUGGGAGGUAAAUUUCUUCUAAAGCUAAAUACCGGCCAGAGACCGAUAGCGCACAAGUAGAGUGAUCGAAAGAUGAAAAGCACUUUGAAAAGAGGGUUAAAUAGUACGUGAAAUUGUUGAAAGGGAAGGGCUUGUGACCAGACCUUUGCCUUGCGGAUCAUCCGGUGUUCUCACCGGUGCACUUCGCUUGGUUGAGGCCAGCAUCAGUUUCGGCGGCGGGAUAAAGACUUCAGGAACGUGACUCCCCCGGGAGUGUUAUAGCCUGCUGUGUAAUACCGCCGCCGGGACUGAGGACCGCGCUUCGGCUAGGAUGCUGGCAUAAUGGUCAUCAGCCACCCGUCUUGAAACACGGACCAAGGAGUCGAACAUUUAUGCGAGUUUUUGGGUGUUAAACCCUCAAGCGUAAUGAAAGUGAACGGAGGUGAGAGCCCUUACGGGUGCAUCAUCGACCGAUCCUGAUGUCUUCGGAUGGAUUUGAGUAAGAGCAUAACUGUUCGGACCCGAAAGAUGGUGAACUAUGCGUGGAUAGGGUGAAGCCAGAGGAAACUCUGGUGGAGGCUCGCAGCGGUUCUGACGUGCAAAUCGAUCGUCAAAUCUGCGCAUGGGGGCGAAAGACUAAUCGAACCAUCUAGUAGCUGGUUACCGC
rnacentral:rRNA from 1 species